rnacentral:lncRNA from 10 species
CAAUUAUGACCUCUCCUAUUUCCUCAAAUCUCUGAUUCGUUCUUGCUUCUAAUGCAGGAUACCCUCUGAGGUCAAAUCAUUGGGCUUGUGGCCAUGAGACCACAGACUUUGCCUAGCUUCCAGUGACUGUCCGAGAUGACCUGUGGAGUGCACCGCCUGUACUUGGACAUCACUGUCUUUUCCGAUCCAUACCCGUCAUCCUUGGAAUUUCCCCUGCAUCCAAACCUGUUCCUGAUACAGGUGUGAGUAAUGAAUAACCCUAAGGAAUAUCUUGGAUGUCUUCACGGGGCUUAUGACUUAUUCUGAGGUUUACAAAAUAGAGGCCCCCAGCUGAGCAAAGAGAGGGCUGCAGCGCCGAGGGAACAGCUGCCGGACUCACCGGAGAGGCCUCCUGGAGCACGCCGGGACCCCCUCCACCCCCUGGCUUUGGCUGCAUCCAUGGCUAGUUUGCCUGAACUAUAUCUGAGCCACUGAGAGUAUUUAUUAAGCAGAGAAUAAUUUUGAGUUUCACUUUUAUAACUUUUGUUUCAAAAGUUGUUUUGGAUAAUUUAAUGAAAUGACUGUAAACCAGAAUUCCCCUUUUCAUUAUUUCUUUGUGUCGAUAUAAAAAGAGUUGAUGAUUUUAAAAGCCAGUGAGAUGUCCCUGUCUGUGGAUGUCAGCGGGAGCGUGGGGUCUGAAGCCUUUCUCUGGUGGCUGUCCAGGAAGAUUGCCCCAGCUUGCACUCCCUUUUGGCGGGUUCCAGAGCCUUCCAUUUGAAAGGAGCAUCUCUCCCCACUCUGCCCCACCCAGCACCAGCUCUUCUGGAACCCACUGACUUCCUAAACACUUUCUUCCUCCUUCACCUCAUUGAAUUCAAGACUUUAGAAAACAGCCAAAAACUCUAGAGGUGGGGGUGGGUGUGAUCUGGAAAUCCCUGCUGUAAUCUUUUUAAGGGAAUCCACUGGAAAUUAUUAAUUUAUGUUUUAAAUAAAACCAUUCCUUACUUCACAGAAUAUUAAGCCACUCACUUUUUAACAGAACUUUGAGAUAUAAUUAAAAUGCCGUAAAUUUCACCCCCACACAGUGUACAGUUCCAAGGUUUCCAAUAUAGUCACAGAAGUCUCUGCAACAAUUACCACAAUUUUAGACAUGAAGACCAUUUGUUGGCAGCCCUACCUGUAUCUAUGUGUAUAUAUAUAAUUUUAAUAUUGGAUUAGAUGUUAUAGUAUUUAAUAUUGUACUGUUACCUAUUUGUGUCUUUAUAUUGCUGUUUUUUAUUCAGGUGAAUAAUAAUUAUCUCCAUAUAGUCAUACAUUUAUAUAGGGUUAAAACAUACCUUUUUACAAUUCAAUAAAUUAAAUUGGCCAGGCGUGGUGGCUCAUGCCUGUAAUCCCAGCACUUUGGGAGGCCGAGGGGGGCGGAUCACCUGAGGUUGGGGGUUCGAGACCAGCCUGACCAACAUGGAGAAACCCUGUCUGUACUAAAAAUACAAAAAAUUAGCCGGGUGUGGUGGCUCAUGCCUGUAAUCCCAGCUACUUGGGAGGCUGAGGCAGGAGAAUCACUAGAACCCAGGAGGCGGACGUUGCGGUAAGCCGGGAUCGCACCAUUGCACUCCAGCCUGGGCAACAAGACCAAAACUCCAUCUCAAGAAAAAAAAAAAAAAAAAAAGAAAGUAAAUUGUUUUUAAUUACUCACAUAAGAAACACAUGUGUUAUUGUUAUAAAAAUUCACAUAGUGCUUAGGUCUACAGAAUAAACGUAUCCCCGCCACCUCCCAGCCCACCCCCUCGUCUGCAUUCACCUACACACAGUUAAACAUGCACAUAUGUUUCCGUGACACGAUCUUGUUUGCAUAUUGUUCACUGAUUUGCUUUUCCAUAUAAGAUUUAAUUUGGUGAUUAUUGCUUAUCAGUACCUAUAGGUCUCUCUCAUUAUUAUUUAUAAUUACAUCAUUAUUCCAUAGGGUAUUUUACCAUAAUUUGGUCACUUUUUCACUGAGGAAUUUUUAUGUCAGUUUCAGUUAUUUGUUAUUGUUACCAAUGCUGUACUGGGCAUCCCUGUAUAUCCACCUUUUUGUUGCAUUAGUUAAGUGGUUUUUUCCUUUUAUGAUUGAUUUCUAAAAAUAAAAUACUGCAGCAAAUGUUAAUGUUUAAUAUUUUCAUAAAAUUAAAAAUCUGUGUUCCAAAAAGAAAUCAAUGGUUUAUACUUCUACCAUCAGUGUAUGAGAAUUCCUAUUUCCCCACACCCUUAAUUACACAGGAAAUUAUCAAUGUUUG